rnacentral:rRNA from 1 species
CCUACGGGAGGCAGCAGUGAGGAAUAUUGGUCAAUGGGCGGGAGCCUGAACCAGCCAAGCCGCGUGAGGGAAGAAGGUACAGCGUAUCGUAAACCUCUUUUGUCAGGGAACAAAGGCGGGGACUAGUCCCCGGAUGCGGGUACCUGAAGAAAAAGCAUCGGCUAACUCCGUGCCAGCAGCCGCGGUAAUACGGGGGAUGCGCGCGUUAUCCGGAUUUAUGGGGUUUAAAGGGUGCGCAGGCGGCCUGUUAAGUUAGCGGUAAAAGCCCGGGGCUCAACCCCGGCGAGCCGUUGAAACUGGGGGGCUGGAGUUGGAGAGAAGUACGCGGAAUGCGCGGUGUAGCGGUGAAAUGCUUAGAUAUCAGGAGGAACACCGGUGGCGAAGGCGGCCUGCUGGACUGCAACUGACGUUGAGGCCCGAAAGCGUGGGGAGCAAACAGGAUUAGAUACCCUGGUAGUC